rnacentral:tRNA from 1 species
GGCUGUAGCUCAGUGGCAGAGCGCUUGCCUAACAUGCAUGAGACCCUGGGUUCGAUCCUUAGCACCA